rnacentral:lncRNA from 1 species
UCUGAAGUUUUAUCGGCUAUUUUUGCCGAAGUGAUGCAAGGGAAACCUGAAUUUACCGACCAUUUGACACAUAAGUUAAAGCACCACCCUGGCCAAAUUGAGGCUGCUGCUAUCAUGGAGCACAUUUUGGAUGGAAGUUCCUACAUGAAAGCUGCAAAGAAGUUGCAUGAGGUGGAUCCUUUGCAAAAGCCAAAACAAGAUCGAUAUGCACUUAGAACUUCACCUCAGUGGCUUGGCCCUCUGAUUGAAGUGAUUCGAUUCUCAACAAAGUCGAUCGAGAGAGAGAUUAAUUCUGUGAACGACAACCCUUUGAUUGAUGUUUCCAGAAACAAGGCCUUGCACGGUGGUAAUUUCCAAGGGACCCCUAUUGGAGUUUCCAUGGACAACACACGUCUGGCCCUUGCAGCAAUUGGAAAACUCAUGUUUGCUCAGUUCACUGAGCUUGUGGAUGACCACUACAACAAUGGCUUACCUUCAAAUCUCACUGCUAGUAGAAAUCCCAGCUUGGAUUACGGUCUUAAGGGAGCUGAAAUUGCAAUGGCUUCUUAUUGCUCUGAACUCCAAUAUCUUGCAAAUCCAGUCACAACUCAUGUCCAAAGUGCUGAGCAACACAACCAAGACGUGAACUCUUUGGGUUUGAUUUCUUCUAGAAAAACCAACGAAGCCGUUGAGAUCCUUAAGCUCAUGUCUUCCACAUUCUUGAUUGCACUUUGUCAAGCAAUUGACUUGAGGCAUUUGGAGGAGAACUUGAAAUACUCAGUGAAGAGCACUGUAAGUCAAGUUGCCAAGAGGACUCUUACCACAGGUGUCAACGGAGAACUCCAUCCUUCCAGGUUUUGUGAAAAAGAUUUGCUGAAGGUGGUCGAUAGGGAAGCUGUAUUUGCCUACAUUGAUGACCCUUGCCUUGCUACUUACCCAUUGAUGCAGAAACUGAGGCAAGUGCUUGUGGAUCAUGCUUUAGUAAAUGGAGAAAACGAGAAGGACUCAAAGACAUCAAUCUUUCAAAAGAUUGCAACUUUUGAGGAUGAGUUGAAGAGUCUCUUGCCAAAGGAGGUUGAAAGUGCAAGGGCUGCAUAUGAGAGUGGCAAUCCAACAAUUUCAAACAAGAUUAACGAAUGCAGGUCUUAUCCAUUGUACAAGUUUGUGAGGGAGGAGCUGGGAACUGAGUUGCUAACUGGUGAAAAGUCCAGGUCACCAGGCGAGGAGUGUGACAAAUUGUUCACAGCAAUAUGCCAGGGUAAAAUUAUUGAUCCUCUUUUGGAAUGCCUUGGGGAGUGGAACGGUGCCCCUCUUCCAAUAUGCUAACUUUAUUAGUAACUUUUAGAAAUGGUUUCUUUGUAUCUUCGCAAGGGAAGCAUUAAUCAUUCAGAUUAUCAAGUCCUUAGCAAACUAAUAAGGAAAACUCCAUCUCAAUUUCCUCGAUGUGAAAGAGGAGCUUGUAAUUUAAUAUUAUAUAAUAGAAUUUUUAGUUGUUUGCCAGAGCUUUGAGUAUCACUAUAUUAUAAUACAUAGUUUCAUGUCUUUGAAACUGCAAACAUUUUUCUUUAUGUUGUAUUUAGUUGAGUUCAAGUUUGUUUCUUAAGAUCAGCAUUACCUCAGCUUUUGGAAAAUCACAUCUAAUCGUGUGGAAUUACAACUGAAGACAAGGGCAAACAGUAUAUUCAAAUACUCGUUAGUCAGCACAUUUAACAGCAGCGAGGGGCUGGAGUCUUUAGUUCAUUUAGCAUAUUUUGUCUAUAAUUCAGCAAAGAGUGUCUUUUCUCCAUUCAGAAAAUGGACAAUUAGACACAGCAAUCAUUUCUCACUUUCAUGUUUUGAUGCCUAAAAAUAUCUGUUUUCAUCAGCACAUGUAUAACCAAUUUUAGUGUAUGAGUUUCAGAUGAUGUUUCCCACCCUUUGUUCACUUGUUGUUCUAGCUAUAUCUUUUCUUGAUUUUGUAAAUUUUAUACAAUCUUCAAAAAUUGUGCCAACAAUAGGUUUAACCAUGACAAUGGUUUGAUCAAAUGAAAUGUCCCUAUUCACAUGCUUUGGUAUUUUACUUUUGUUAUAAUGAACUCUGCACAGCUUUAUAUCUUUCUUCCUUGCAUCCUGCUCCAAAAUGUAGUGUCUCUUACCAUCCCUACCCCACUGAAAAUGAAAUCCUCCAAAGAUUCUUUAAAAUUCACUCCACUUUCUUGAAGACAAUUUACUGAUACUCAUUGCACUAGAUGCCUACAGUCCCUCCACUAAUUCAGAAUUUUGUAGAAGGUAUAUUAGCCAGGUCAGGUAGCUAAACAUUUGAAAACCAAAGUCAUCAGAGAAAGGAAACUAUGUUUGUACAACCUGUCAGUAUGUUUUACUUAUCCUACUUAUCACUGAUGUUGCACAUUUGCAAUAGAAUUAACUUUGAAGCAAAUAUUGACAUGAUACUCUGGGUUGUCAAAGGGUUAACCACCAAUUAUGUAAAUUGCUCAAAUCUUUGAGCAGGAAUAUGAGAGGUAUGGUUCCAUGAUACAUGACAAUUGGAAAAGCUAGGCAUUGCCACUGUACAGGGGAAACAUAUUUAGUAGGGCUAUUAAGAUUUAAGAGGUGCAUAUGCAUGAAACAGCACGACACCAAUAAUAUAAGGCAUUCAAUACAUCAACAAAUCUUCUGUCUAGGUACAGUACUUUCUACAAGCAAUAAAGUUUAAUGUAGAAUAUGGAAUUAUGGCUAAACAUGUGGCAAUAGGCUAAUUGCACCAUACUAAUUAUUAGGUGUGUAAAAAGUAAUUUUAGGAUGUACUCACUUGCCUUUGAGAUAGACAUCUGUGGUACCUGGGCUUUAGCCUUUUUGUGCUGGGCCUUUACGCUUUUAAUAUGAUCCACCUUUGACCCAAAAAAAGAUCUUAUAUCAGCAAUGAGGGAUCAAAAGCAGUAAUGAAGCAGAAGUUAACCAUUGACCAAAAAAAAAAAGCAGAAGUUAACCAGAAUAGCAGGGAGCACUAGUUUUGGACACAUUGUCAUGCACUAAGCAACAAUAGAAGCCAGUUCAACAUACUAUCACAUAGAGGAUUUAAUUUUUAAGGUAGAGUUUUCAAUUUUUUCCCUGAUGUAAUUUUUUUCUUUUUAGGUAGAGGAGUUGAAUGAAUCAAGUUGAGCUAAUGAACCAGACAGAACUCCAAAUCAAAUAAAUUAAAUUAAACUGGUUUAGAUAGUUGUUAAAACUUGACGUACAUGUUUAGCUUUUUCGUUGACUGAAUACACCAAACCAUGAAACUUAUUAGUAGAAUAUUAGAUAAAAUAAUAUGAUUGUCAUGUUGGUUGAAAAAAUUACAAAAUAAAAACCAAGCCGUCUAAAUUAUUAGAAUUCGGUGUGAUGUAGAGGCUUGACUUGACUACGUUUGGAGUUGAACUAGCAAGAGUGGUGUUCCCACAUUGCUUCCUUCGUCUAAUGCUGACCCCAACAACCUACCUCCACAUUUCGUUUGGAAACACAGCAGCCACGUUGCAAGAUCAUAGCCGCUGGUAAAGGGAGUAGCAAUCCUACGGAUAUAAUUAGUUUUCCACCAACCCCCUUUCUAACAGAGCCCGCCAAUCCUAUUCUACCUAACAAAACCACAUGACACACACACCACAUUCUCUAUAAAUUCCCACUCACCAUUCCCUUCAUCUCUCAGGAAAUCAACAACCCUCCUAAGUAUUUCCACAUUCAACACAACAAUCUCUACCUCAUAACUUGAGCAAGCCAGCUCCAUUUGUGUUUCAAUAAUCAAUCUUCCAAGUAAACUAUUUAUCAGUUUGCAUUUUUAAGAUGGCACCAACCACCAACGGCCACCACCAAAGCCAAACCGAUUCCAUCUUUUGCACUACAGCUAAAACUGGCAGUGAUCCCUUGAGUUGGGGUGUAGCGGCGGAGUCAAUGAAGGGGAGCCAUCUAGACGAGGUCAAGCGCAUGGUGGCGGAGUACAGGAAGCCGGUGGUCAAGCUUGGCGGAGAGACCCUGACAAUAGCUCAGGUGGCUGCCAUUGCCGCAAACGACAGCGUGAGCGUUGAGCUGUGCGAAUCAGCUAGAGCCGGCGUUAAGGCGAGCAGUGACUGGGUCAUGAACAGCAUGAACAACGGCACUGACAGUUACGGAGUCACCACCGGAUUCGGGGCCACCUCCCACCGUAGAACCAAAAAUGGCAAUGCUUUGCAGCUAGAACUCAUCAGGUACUAUACUAUACUAACUCAAAUCCACACUCAUCAUAACUAACUAGUACUAAUUAAUUAAUCAUCAUAUUUACAAUUACAUUCAUUGUAUAAAAGUUGUUGAUGUUUAUAUAUUAUUGUUCUUCAGGUUUUUGAAUGCUGGAAUAUUUGGCAAUGGUACCGAGACAAACCACACACUGCCACAGCCUGCAACCAGAGCAGCCAUGCUAGUGAGGAUCAACACUCUUCUCCAAGGGUACUCAGGCAUUAGAUUUGAAAUCCUAGAAGCUAUCACCAAGCUCAUCAACAACAACAUCACCCCAUGUUUACCACUUCGUGGUACUGUCACGGCUUCUGGUGAUCUUGUCCCUCUUUCCUACAUUGCUGGUUUGCUUACUGGCCGACAAAACUCCAAAGCUGUAGGACCCUCUGGCGAGGUGAUUAAUGCCAAGAAAGCUUUCCAAUUGGCUGGCAUUGACUCAGGGUUCUUCGAAUUGCAGCCCAAGGAAGGGCUUGCCCUUGUGAAUGGUACUGCUGUUGGUUCAGGGUUAGCUUCUAUUGUUCUAUUUGAUGCUAACGUAUUGGCUAUACUAGCUGAAGUUCUAUCGGCUAUUUUCGCUGAAGUGAUGCAAGGGAAACCUGAAUUCACUGACCAUUUGACACAUAAGUUGAAGCACCACCCUGGCCAAAUUGAGGCUGCUGCUAUCAUGGAGCACAUCUUGGAUGGAAGUUCCUACAUGAAGGCAGCAAAGAAGUUGCACGAGGUGGAUCCCUUGCAAAAGCCAAAACAGGAUCGUUAUGCACUCAGAACUUCCCCACAGUGGCUUGGCCCUCUGAUUGAGGUGAUUCGAUUCUCAACAAAGUCAAUCGAGAGAGAGAUUAAUUCUGUGAACGACAACCCUUUGAUUGAUGUCUCCAGAAACAAGGCCUUGCACGGUGGUAAUUUCCAAGGAACCCCUAUUGGAGUUUCCAUGGACAACACACGCCUGGCGCUUGCAGCAAUUGGCAAACUCAUGUUUGCUCAAUUCACUGAGCUGGUGGAUGAUCAUUACAACAAUGGGUUGCCUUCAAAUCUCACAGCAAGUAGAAAUCCCAGCUUGGAUUAUGGUCUCAAGGGAGCUGAAAUUGCCAUGGCUUCUUAUUGCUCAGAACUCCAAUAUCUUGCAAAUCCCGUCACAACCCAUGUGCAAAGUGCUGAGCAACACAACCAAGAUGUGAACUCUUUGGGUUUGAUUUCUUCUAGAAAAACCUAUGAAGCCAUUGAGAUCCUUAAGCUCAUGUCUUCCACAUUCUUGAUUGCACUUUGCCAAGCAAUUGAUUUGAGGCAUUUGGAGGAGAACUUGAAACACUCAGUGAAGAGUACUGUCAGUCAAGUUGCCAAGAGGACUCUUACCACUGGUGUUAGCGGAGAACUCCAUCCUUCCAGGUUUUGUGAAAAAGAUUUGCUGAAGGUGGUCGAUAGGGAAACUCUAUUUGCCUACAUCGAUGACCCCUGCCUUGCUACUUACCCAUUGAUGCAAAAGCUGAGGCAAGUGCUUGUGGAUCAUGCGUUAGUAAAUGGAGAAAAUGAGAAGGACUCAAAGACAUCAAUCUUUCAAAAGAUUGGAAGUUUUGAGGAUGAGUUGAAGAGUCUACUGCCAAAGGAGGUUGAAAGUGCAAGGGCUGCAUAUGAGAGUGGCAAUCCAGCAAUUCCAAACAAGAUCAAUGAAUGCAGAUCUUACCCACUGUACAAGUUUGUGAGGGAAGAGUUGGGAACUGAGUUGCUAACUGGUGAAAAGUCCAGGUCACCAGGUGAGGAGUUUGACAAACUGUUCACAGCAAUAUGCCAGGGUAAAAUUAUAGAUCCUCUUUUGGAAUGCCUUGGGGAGUGGAACGGUGCUCCUCUUCCAAUUUGUUAACUUUACUAGUUUCUUCAGGAUAUGUUUUCUUUGUACUUAUGCUACUGUAACUUUAUUCAUUUGCUUUAUCAAGCCUUGGGCAAAAUAAUAUGGAAAACUAAUUUGCGGAAUAUGGAAUUAUGGCUAAACAUGUUACUAGGCUAUAGCUAUUUGUACCAAACUAAUUUGUGGAAUUUCUCCACAAUAUGCUAACUUUAAAGAUCAAAUUCCCUGUACAGGUAUGACAUUGAACUCUUAAGCAAGGUAAACAGGAAAUAAAACUAAAUAAGGAUAGAAAGAAAGAGAACAAAUAAACCCUGGCAUUGCUCAUCAACUUUUAAUAUCUGCUAAACAACCACCUGGAAUGUCCCCAUCCAAAGCAACCUCAAGAUCAAUAAACCACUAAAUCAUGAUAUGUGACAUAUAUAUCAAAGCAGAAAGACAAGAGAUAAAAGUAGAUUUUUGCAAAAGCUGGGUGCGAGGGGAAAUGAUGAGAAUCUGACAUUAAAUCAGAAUAAGCCUGCAGACCCUAAACCAAGUUCUAUAAAUUUCAUCUCACCUUAUUCAAAUAAAAAAACCAGAAUACCAACCAUUAAAAGUUAGUCUAAUAUUUUGGAAUUGCUCUUAAAUUUCAGCAAGCUAGUAGUUUGAUUACCUGGCUUUUACCAAAAAGAGACUUAUGUGAGAAACAUGUUACAGACAACAUGUUACAGAACAUUUUCCCACCCUUUCCCAAAACUUAUGCAUCAUAGAUGCAGUUCAGUAUAUUAAGAUCACCAACUCAGACCAGAAUCUUUGGUUUUUAGCUUAUCUGAAACCAAUUCAGGGAAGUAACAACACUUCAGUCUAGUACAGAUAGAGGAGUAGAAUCAAAUGAAAUCAAUGUAUAAGUUUUACAUUUAUACACCAAUUUUAGGCCACUAGUUUGUUUUAAUCCAAUGUCUGCGAAGAAUGCAAAUCUUAUAUGUAAAAUCCAACGCUAAUUAGGGAAAAGGGAUAAGCUCUAGACAGAAUAAAACUAUAAUUGUUUCUAAAACUCUUACAGUUCGAGAGAAGACAUUUUACCAUGCUAUGUGAUGUGAUGUGAGGUUUAAACUUCAGAAUAUAGUGAUUUGUACCCUUUGCAUCAUACGUGUAAUUGUUAAGUAAUCUUAUACUUUUUCUACCUCUUCCCACCGUUUUUGUCUGCUCACCUGUGCUUUCUGCUUUGAACUUCACUAUGUUCAUAAUCCUGUUUGUCUUACCUCUCAUUUCCACUCUGUUUUUGUUCUUAUUUUUUCUCUAUUCUAUCUCUAUCACAUCACUUAUGCUAUCACUCAUUUCUCUCUCUUAUAUUUCUUUCAAAAAGUGUAGAGGGUAAAAGUAUGAAGAGAACAUUAAUCUUCUGUUUUUCCUUCUUUUCUCAUUCAAUCGUAUUAUUAAGUACAAGAGCUCUUAAACUUAUAUCAAAUAAAAAUUUCAAAAAAAAAUUGCAUUUUGUUAAAUCCCGAAUAUAUAUAUAUAUAUAUAUAUAUAUAUAUAUAUAUUUAAUUAAAAUAAAAACAAAAUUACUAUUUGAUUCACAUUUUUUAUCAAUAUUUAUAUUUUCUUUCUAAGGUGUAUAAUUGUCAAUUAUGAUAUGAGUAUAAUUCAUUUACACUCUUAUAAUUUUCCACUUCAUUUACUUUUUCUUAAUUAUAUACACAUAACAUAAGGGGUAAGCCCUUCUAAGAAAAUGAGAAGAAAAAAAAAAUGGUAGUCCGUCCAUCCAAUCAGAACCAUCCCAGAAUGAAGUCUAUAGAUUAAUCAACAAAUUAAUAACAGCAGAAGUGCAAAAAACCAGAACCACUAAAAGAAAACCAGCCAAAUGAGAAAUAAACCAAAAUAGCAGGGGACACCAGUUUUGAACACCAUGGUCAUGCCUUAAGCAACAAAAGAAGCCGGCUCAGCAUAAUAUUUUUCUUUGUAUUUCAUCUCAUCUCCACAUAUAUUCUCUUCUUAAUUAUUUCUUAUUUUUCUAUCAUAUUACAUAUCGUCUCUCUCAUUUUCUCUUUUUUUUUCCUUUCUCCCACUUGGUAUAAGUAUGGGAGAAGUGUGAAUAACAACUUAUUCAUCAUAAUAUAGAAGAUGUUAACGUUUAAGAAAGAAUUUUCUAUUUUUUUCACUGAAGUAAUUUUUUUCUUUUUAGGCACAUGAGUUGCUUGAAUAAAGCUGUGCUACUUAAUCGAACAGUACUCCAAGAGUCCAAGUCAAAUAGAUUAAACUGGUUUAGAUAAUUGUUUCCUUUGAUGUCAAAACUUGACCCAUGCACGUGCUUUAGCUUACGUUGACUGAAACCAAACCGUGAAAACUUGGUAUGUUACAUUUGAUCCUCACGUUGAUUGAGAAAAACUACAAAAAAACAAACCAAGCCGUCAAAAGAAUACUGUGUGGUACAUGCUUGACUUGACUGUGUUUGGUGUACCUCGCAGAUUCCUUCCUCUUCCAACUACCUUCUCAUUUCGUUUGGAGGACACAGCAGCCACAUCUACCAACAAGCUUGAACAAAUCUUGGAGUGACACGUAGCAGGAUCCAAGUCGCUCGUGAAGGAAUGGCAAUCAGACGGCCAUUAUAAAUUUUUCACCAACCCCCUUUCUGUCCUAUCUACCUAACAGCUACGCAUGACUCACACACCAAUCUUCCUAUAAAUGCCCACUCACUCUCCAUUCAUCUCUCAGGAAAUCAACAAUUCUCCUAAGUAUUUCCACAUUUAACACAACAAUCUCUUCUCUCCCUCAUAACUUGAGCAAGCUAGCUCCAUUUUUUGUUACGAUAAUCAAUCUUUCAAGUAUAAUAUCUAUCAGUUUGCAAUAAUAUUAAGAUGGCACCAACCACCAAUGGCCACCACCAGAGCCAAAAUGAUUCCAUCUUCUGCACUGCUGCUAAAGCCGGCAGUGAUCCCUUGAGUUGGGGUGUAGCCGCAGAGUCAAUGAAGGGGAGCCACCUGGAUGAGGUCAAGCGCAUGGUGGCGGAGUACCGGAAGCCGGUGGUCAAGCUUGGCGGAGAAACUCUCACAAUAGCUCAGGUGGCUGCCAUCGCAGCAAACGACCAAGGCGUGAGCGUUGAGCUUUGUGAAUCAGCUAGAGCUGGCGUCAAGGCAAGCAGUGACUGGGUGAUGAACAGCAUGAACAACGGCACUGACAGUUACGGUGUCACCACCGGCUUCGGCGCCACCUCCCACCGUAGAACCAAAAAUGGCAAUGCUUUGCAGCUAGAACUCAUCAGGUACUAUACUAUACUAACUCAAAUCCACACUCAUCAUAACUAACUAGUACUAAUUAAUUAAUCAUCUUAUUUGCAAUUACAUUCAUUGUAUAAAAGUUGUUGAUGUUUAUAAAUUCUUGUUCUUCAGGUUUUUGAAUGCUGGAAUAUUUGGCAAUGGUACUGAAUCAACUCACACCCUGCCACAGCCUGCAACUAGAGCAGCCAUGCUAGUGAGGAUCAACACACUUCUCCAGGGAUACUCAGGCAUUAGAUUUGAAAUCCUAGAAGCUAUCACCAAGCUCAUCAACAACAACAUCACCCCUUGUUUACCACUUCGUGGUACUGUCACGGCUUCUGGUGAUCUGGUCCCUCUUUCCUACAUUGCUGGUUUGCUAACUGGCCGACAAAAUUCCAAAGCCGUUGGACCAUCCGGCGAGGUGGUUAAUGCCAAGGAAGCUUUCCAAUUGGCUGGCAUUGACUCUGGGUUCUUUGAAUUGCAGCCUAAGGAAGGGCUUGCCCUUGUAAAUGGCACUGCUGUUGGUUCUGGGUUAGCUUCUAUUGUUCUCUUUGAUGCUAAUGUAUUGGCUAUACUAUCUGAAGUUCUAUCAGCUAUUUUUGCCGAAGUGAUGCAAGGGAAACCUGAAUUCACUGACCAUUUGACUCAUAAGUUGAAGCACCACCCUGGCCAGAUUGAGGCUGCUGCUAU